ACAAACUUGGUCAUUUAGAGGAAGUACAAGUCGUAACAAGGUAUCCGUAGGUGAACCUGCGGAUGGAUCAUUACCAAAGGAAUACCCUUUCCUACGUACUGUGAACUGUUUUGACUGACAGUCAGUGACUGGGUUGCCUGUCAUGGGCACAGUUGCUGGCUGUACACAUACUAUACGUACUUUACAGACUGAAAUACUACUUUUGUAUGAACAAAAGACAACUUUUAGCAAUGGAUCUCUUGGUUCUCGCAUCGAUGAAGAACGCAGC
rnacentral:misc_RNA from 1 species